rnacentral:rRNA from 1 species
GAUGAACGCUGGCGGCGUGCCUAAUACAUGCAAGUCGAGCGAACAGACGAGGAGCUUGCUCCUCUGACGUUAGCGGCGGACGGGUGAGUAACACGUGGAUAACCUACCUAUAAGACUGGGAUAACUUCGGGAAACCGGAGCUAAUACCGGAUAAUAUAUUGAACCGCAUGGUUCAAUAGUUAAAUACGGUUUUGCUGUCCCUUAUAGAUGGAUCCGCGCCGCAGUGGCUAGUUGGUAAGGUAACGGCUUUCCAAGGUAACGAUGCGUAGACGACGUGUGAGAGUGAUCGUGCACGCUAGAACUGAGACAACGGCAGGACUGCUACGGGAGGGUACAGUAGCGGAUCUUCCGCAAUAGGCGGAAGCCUGACGGAAUGAGGCCGCGCGUGGGAUGGAGGUUGGCGGUUCGGAAAACUCUGUUAAUAGGGAAGAACAAAUGUCGAAGUAGCUAUGCACGUCUUGACGGUACCUAAUCAGAAAGCAACGGCUAACUACGGG